rnacentral:rRNA from 1 species
CGCCUCUUGCUUAAUGAAAUAUAAGAGGUCCCACCUGCCCUGUGACUUUAAGUUUAACGGCCGCGGUAUCCUAACCGUGCGAAGGUAGCGCAAUCAAUUGCCUUUUAAAUGAAGGCCUGUAUGAAUGGUAAAACGAGGGUUUAACUGUCUCUUUUUUCCAGUCGGUUAAAUUGAUCUGUCCGUGCAGAAGCGGACAUUUUUUUACAAGACGAGAAGACCCUAUGGAGCUUUAGACACCAGCUAACUGUGAACUAGCGAAUGAAUAAUAAAUCUUCCCAUACACCCACAGACCCUGGUAAUGUGUCUUAGGUUGGGGCGACCACGGGAGAAAGAAAAGCUCCCGAGCAGAACAGGGCUUACCCUGGAACUAAGAACGACAGCUCUAAGUCACAAAAACUUUGACUGAAAUGAUCCGGCCUAACGGCCGAUUAACGGAACAAGUUACCCUAGGGAUAACAGCGCAAUCCCCUCCCAGAGUCCCUAUCGACGAGGGGGUUUACGACCUCGAUGUUGGAUCAGGACAUCCUAAUGGUGCAGCCGCUAUUAAGGGUUCGUUUGUUCAACGAUUAAAGUCCU